GACGAACGCUGGCGGCGUGCCUAAUACAUGCAAGUAGAACGCUGAAGGAGGAGCUUGCUUCUCUGGAUGAGUUGCGAACGGGUGAGUAACGCGUAGGUAACCUGCCUGGUAGCGGGGGAUAACUAUUGGAAACGAUAGCUAAUACCGCAUAAGAGUAGAUGUUGCAUGACAUUUGCUUAAAAGGUGCAAUUGCAUCACUACCAGAUGGACCUGCGUUGUAUUAGCUAGUUGGUGGGGUAACGGCUCACCAAGGCGACGAUACAUAGCCGACCUGAGAGGGUGAUCGGCCACACUGGGACUGAGACACGGCCCAGACGCCUACGGGAGGCAGCAGUAGGGAAUCUUCGGCAAUGGACGGAAGUCUGACCGAGCAACGCCGCGUGAGUGAAGAAGGUUUUCGGAUCGUAAAGCUCUGUUGUAAGAGAAGAACGAGUGUGAGAGUGGAAAGUUCACACUGUGACGGUAUCUUACCAGAAAGGGACGGCUAACUACGUG
rnacentral:rRNA from 1 species